rnacentral:rRNA from 1 species
UCAGUAACACGUAGUCAACAUGCCCAAAGGACGUGGAUAACCUCGGGAAACUGAGGAUAAACCGCGAUAGGCCAAGGUUUCUGGAAUGAGCCAUGGCUGAAAUCUAUAUGGCCUUUGGAUUGGACUGCGGCCGAUCAGGCUGUUGGUGAGGUAAUGGCCCACCAAACCUGUAACCGGUACGGGCUUUGAGAGAAGGAGCCCGGAGAUGGGCACUGAGACAAGGGCCCAGGCCCUAUGGGGCGCAGCAGGCGCGAAACCUCUGCAAUAGGCGAAAGCUUGACAGGGUUACUCUGAGUGAUGCCCGCUAAGGGUAUCUUUUGGCACCUCUAAAAAUGGUGCAGAAUAAGGGGUGGGCAAGUCUGGUGCCAGCC